ACGUUCGCAGGGGAGUAAAAAAAAAACAAGAUGGGCGCAAACGCGUGGAAGGCCCGGCCCGAAGUUUCAGCGGCGCGUCGCCAUCGUCUCUCCCCACAUCGUCGUCAUCCUCGCCGCCGAUUCAACGCCUCGCCCGCUCCCCCCCCCUCCUCAGUCCGGCCGUCUCCAUGCCGACGAGCUCAGAGCUGGGCCCCCUUUUGCCCGUGCCUUGUACGCUCCACCCUGUCCCCCUCCGUCCGCCCGUCGCGGUCGGCCGUCGCCACUGGGAGCCGUGAGCUACGACCACGAGGCGCCCCGCCCUUGGAGUUCCCGGCCGGCCUAGUCGUGUCUGCCGGGGACGGGGAGGCGCGGGUUUAAAUGCCGGCGGAGGCCACUAGCCAGUGGAGCAGCCGGGGCGGGGUUCCCAGUCGAGAUUCGCCCUUCGCAUGACUGCAGUUGAUUUUUUGUUCUCUCGAGGCUUCUGACUUGCACUAGUUAAUUAACAACUUCAUUCCCUGGUUCCUUCCUGAUGGAGGCAUCGUCUUGCUUCCGCUACCAAGUCUGGGGUUUUGGUUUGUCCUGGAUAUGGCUAUGUCUUCUUUUACUGCAUCUCCUUCAGAACUGCAGCCUGGUGCUCUCAGACUCUCCUUAUCUGGUCGGCAUGGGGAGCUAUGACAUAACAGGGCCUGCGGCAGAUGUUAACAUGAUGGGAUAUGCAAAUGCGGAGCAGGUUACAUCAGGGAUUCACUUCAGGCUAAAGUCACGCGCGUUUAUUGUCGCCGAGCCUGAUGAUGGAAAGCGUGUUGUCUUUGUGAAUCUCGACGCUUGUAUGGCAUCACAGCUUGUGAAUAUCAAGGUGCUCGAAAGGCUAAAAGCAAGGUACGGUGAUCUUUAUAAUGAGAAUAACGUGGCUAUCAGUGGCAUCCAUACCCAUGCUGGGCCUGGAGGUUAUCUGCAGUAUGUUGUCUAUAUUAUCACAUCACUUGGGUUUGUUCGUCAGUCAUUCGAUGUAAUUGUCGAUGGCAUUGAGCAAAGCAUUGUUGAAGCUCAUAACAAUCUCCGUCCUGGGAAAAUCUAUGUGAAUAAAGGUGACCUUCUGGAUGCUGGUGUGAAUCGCAGCCCGAGUGGGUAUCUGAAUAACCCUGCUGAAGAGAGAAGCAAAUAUAGAUACAAUGUUGAUAAAGAAAUGACCCUUGUUAAGUUUGUAGAUGAUGAAUUCGGUCCAAUUGGAAGUUUUAAUUGGUUUGCGACUCACGGAACAUCAAUGAGUCGUACAAAUUCUUUGAUAAGCGGUGAUAACAAAGGAGCAGCUGCACGUUUCAUGGAAGACUGGGCUGAACAAAAUGGCCUUCCUAAGCAGACAGGUCAUGCAAAUUCUGUUGAAUUUGGACCUUUGCACCUUCCGAGAAGAGUCUCUACAAUAAUACCAGAACCAGAUGAGAUAACUGAUGACUUAAUGCAAUUAGCAUCAUCCUACAAGGCCACAGGUGGCAGAAUAUUGGCAAGUUCAAAUAUCACUAGGCGCAUUAGAAACACUCGAGGAAACAAUGCCAAGUUUGUUUCCGCAUUUUGCCAGUCAAACUGUGGAGAUGUUAGUCCAAAUGUCUUGGGAGCAUUUUGCAUAGACACCAACCUUCCUUGUGACUUCAACCACAGCACAUGUAAUGGGAAGAACGAACUUUGCUAUGGACGAGGCCCAGGGUAUCCUAAUGAGUUCGAGAGUACCCGCAUAAUUGGGAAUAGGCAAUUUCUGAAGGCUGUAGAUCUCUUUAAUUCGGCUUCGGAAGAACUACAAGGAAAAUUUGACUAUCGUCACACUUACUUAGAUUUCUCGCAACUCGAAGUUAGUGUUUCUACGAGUACGGGAGGUCAGCAGGUGGUGAAAACAUGCCCAGCAGCCAUGGGGUUUUCAUUUGCUGCUGGAACCACAGAUGGCCCUGGAGCUUUUGAUUUCAAACAAGGAGACGACAAGGGAAACCCUUUCUGGAAAUUAGUGGGGGGCAUACUAAAGAAACCAGGGAAAGAGCAAGUCAAGUGCCAAGCUCCAAAACCAAUAUUGCUAGACACUGGUGAAAUAAAGGAACCAUAUGAUUGGGCGCCUACGAUACUUCCCAUUCAGAUCAUAAGAAUUGGUCAGCUGGUUAUUUUGUCUGUUCCUGGAGAAUUCACGACAAUGGCCGGCAGGCGGUUACGCGAUGCUGUAAAAAAUGUACUGAUAAGUGGCAGCAAUGGUGAAUUUAAUUCCAACACUCACAUUGUUCUUGCGGGGCUGACAAACACAUAUUCUCAGUAUGUUACAACAUUCGAAGAAUACCAGGUCCAAAGAUACGAGGGUGCAUCAACUUUGUACGGUCCGCACACCUUGAGUGCAUACAUUCAAGAGUUUCAGAAACUUGCCACAGCUAUGGUUGCAAACAAGGAGAUCCCAGCAACAAACAUCCUACCUCCUGACAUGUUGGACAAACAAAUCGGACUGCUGCCAGGCGUCAUUCUCGACUCGACUCCUCCUGGUGUUCACUUUGGGGAUGUCAGCUCUGACGUCGCAGCAAACUCAGACUUCCUGAAGGGCAGUACCGUGAAUGCUACGUUCCAUUCGGCCUGUCCAAGGAAUGAUCUUCUAACCAACGGUACCUUCGCGCUCGUUGAGAGGCUGAAUGGCGACAACUGGAUUCCUGUCUACGAUGACGACGAUUGGUCUUUGCGAUUCAAGUGGUCGAGGCCAUCGAAACUCAGUCCGGAGAGCUUUGCGACGCUGGAGUGGACCAUUCCUGAAGAUGCUGCCCCUGGUGUUUAUAGGCUGCGGCAUUUCGGUGCCUCCAAGCCGCUGAUAGGGUCGAUCGAGCAUUUUACAGGCACCUCUCGAGCGUUUGCAGUGCGUUAAGCAAUACGCAACUUGUGACGAUGUCUGAGAACUGCUGCUCUUUAUGCUUUUGUUACAAGCAAAUAUAUUGCGCGUACAUUAGGGAAAAUACAUCCCACUAUCGGGUGCAUGUUCAUAUUAUACUAUCAUGUAGACAUAUCCAGUGUUUUGCAAUAGCGCAGGCCGUUUCAGGAUAUUGUAUGUACGUCGUGGAUUCACUCACGCAUUACUUACUGUCUGUUGGUAAAGCCCAUCUCUGUGUACCUUAUUCCUCAAGAACUGAGUUAACAGUGGAUUGGGAAAAUUUGGACUCCAUUUGUUCCCCUUUGAGAGACUGUAUAGUUCAGAUUGUACCAUCAUGCAGAUUGGAUGUACUCCCUCCGUUCCU
rnacentral:rRNA from 1 species